CGCGGGGUGGAGCAGCCCGGUCAGCUCGUCUGGCUCAUAACCAGAAGGUCGCAGGUUCAAAUCCUGCCCCCGCAACCA
rnacentral:tRNA from 1 species